CAUCUGAUCUCUCAUCUUUUCUCAGAUUUGAUUUGUUUACCUUCUUCUUCGAUUAAUUGAUUUUUGAGUUUUCGUUCAACUCACACGAUAUGUCUUUUGUAUUUUUUCAUGCCUGUUCGUUAAUUCGGAGAGAUUCUUAAUCGUUGCUCUUCGUUAGAAUUACGCACUUUCUUUCUGUCUUAAGAUUUGUGAUAGGGUUUUGUGGUUCGGUUGAAUGAAUCGAUGAUGCCGACAUGCUUUGUUUUGCUUCGUUCAUUUGAUUUUGUAAUUUUCUUUG